rnacentral:rRNA from 1 species
AUUGAACGCUGGCGGCAGGCCUAACACAUGCAAGUCGAACGAGUGGCGGACGGGUGAGUAAUGUCUGGGAAACUGCCUGAUGGAGGGGGAUAACUACUGGAAACGGUAGCUAAUACCGCAUACUAUCGGAUGUGCCCAGAUGGGCUUUGCUAGUGGGUGGGGUAACGGCUCACCUAGGCGACGAUCCCUAGCUGGUCUGAGAGGUUGACCGGCCACACUGGAACUGAGAACCGGUCAAACCUCCUACGGGAGGCAGCAGUGGGGAUUAUUGCACAAUGGGCGCAAGCCUGAUGCAGCAAGGCCGCGUGUAUGAAGAAGGCCUUCGGGUUGUAAAGUACUUUCAGCGGGGAGGCGUUACCCGCAGAAGAAGCACCGGCUAACUCCGUGCCAGCAGCCGCGGUAAUAC